CAGAAAAACUUCAAAUACAUGGACAAGACUGGACCAUAAUUUGAUCGAUCACCGGUACUCAUGGAGGAAAUACGGUCAGAAAUUGACUCUCAACCGCAAAUUCCCCAAGUGCUACUUCAGGUGCGCUUUCAGAUUCGACCAGAAAUGUCUAGCAACCAAACAAGUCCAAAAGAUGCUGAAUGACCCACCCGUUUACGAGGCCGUAUACCGAGGCCACCACACUUGCGGAAACCCCAUCCUCGAAUCGACCCCAAUCAUCCUGGAUUCACCGAGCCCUAGGGACUCCUCAAUCCUCUUCAGUUUCCACGCUAGCCUCAUUGCCAAACAAGACAACAACCACCACCCUAUCUCUUCUCCUUCAACUUUCUCAUAAGUGAAUCAGGAGCAAAAGUUGCCCAGUUAGUGAGGAUGAUGUGAACCCCCACGGCCACAGCCAUGACAGACGAUAGCAACAACAACAAUCAAUCCGCAUCAUCCGAUUAUUACGCUGUAUUCAAAUCCGCGGGGGAGAUCUAGCCCUGUCGUCAGAUCAAGGGGAUGUGAUGUUUAGCGUCUCAUAGCUUUGAUAUGAUUGUGGGGUCCGAGUUUGAUGAUCUGUUGGAUUAUGAACUUCAAUGUUGAUUUUGGUGUAGGUUUCUUCAUUAUUGUGCGACGUGUUUGCUAGAUGAGUUU